rnacentral:lncRNA from 1 species
GCUGUUUGUUGUUUGUUUUUUGCUUGUCUGCUUGUGUACAGGUACGGCCGUACGGAGCAGUGGGCGUGGCACGUACGGAGGCCAACUGGGGUGUGAGUGGCGUGGAGGCUCGACGCGUGCUGAAGGCAGGAGCGGCGCACCAACCACUAGGGCUUCCGACUUUUGCUUGCAUUGAGUCUGGGCUAGGGUUAUUGGGCUUAGGCUAAUUGGGUUUAGUGUUUGGGUUAUUGGGCUAUCUGUAAAUGGACUUAGCUUGUAUUUUGGGUUUGCUGGACUAAUGGACUUUUAAUAAUUUUGUUUUUUAUUUUUAUUUUUUUAUAUAUUUUUUGUUUAUUUAUUUGAUUUGGGUCGGGCAAAAUUAAGGUAUUACAGCUACCCCUCUUUGCUCGUUGUUGUGUAACGGGAAUGGAGCAAAGACUCUAAAAAUGGCCAAUUUUGACCGGUCGUGUUGGAAUUGGUGCAUUUUUAGAGGUAUAGGAAUUGGUGCUUCGAUCCACUCCACUGCAAUAUCAGAGAGAUAGGAUUUGUAACUCGAAAC